GGGAAUGUUCUCCUGUACCAACUGAGCUUCAUCCCAACUGCAAAUGCGCUUGGCACAGCAAAGCCUGUGACUGACCUUGGAUUCUCUGCCUCAGCACGCCCAGGAAAUUGUGGAUGACAGAGCUAUGGGGGUGUCAAAAGACAAUGGGGUGAAGAAAAGUAGCAGGAAGCGAAAGUAUGAGUUGGAAAAGGGGCAGGACGAGCCAAAGGCGCUCCCGGUGAAGAAGAAGAAGGAGCUGGAAUGUAGAGUGAAGCCUUCCACGGGAAAAGGGAAGAAGAAGAAACCACCAAAAGUCACGGAAAAGCCACUGCAGGAGAACAUCAU